rnacentral:rRNA from 1 species
AUACGGAGGGGGCUAGCGUUGUUCGGAUUUACUGGGCGUAAAGCGCGCGUAGGCGGUAUACCAAGUUAGGCGUGAAAGCCCCGGGCUCAACCCGGGAACUGCGCUUAUUACUGAUAAACUAGAGUCCGGGAGAGGGUGGCGGAAUUCCCAGUGUAGAGGUGAAAUUCGUAGAUAUUGGGAAGAACACCAGCUGCGAAGGCGGCCACCUGGACCGGUACUGACGCUGAGGUGCGAAAGCGUGGGGAGCAAACAGGAUUAGAUACCCCAGUAGUCC